rnacentral:rRNA from 1 species
UACGUAGGUGGCGAGCGUUGUCCGGAUUUACUGGGCGUAAAGAGCGCGCAGGCGGUCGUUCAAGUCGCGUGUGAAAGCCCCCGGCUCAACUGGGGAGGGUCACGCGAUACUGAUCGACUCGAAGGCAGGAGAGGGUAGUGGAAUUCCCGGUGUAGUGGUGAAAUGCGUAGAUAUCGGGAGGAACACCAGUGGCGAAGGCGACUACCUGGCCUGUUCUUGACGCUGAGGCGCGAAGC